rnacentral:rRNA from 1 species
UACGUAGGGGGCAAGCGUUAUCCGGAUUUACUGGGUGUAAAGGGAGCGUAGACGGUGAUGUAAGUCAGGUGUGAAAGCCCGGGGCUCAACCCCGGGAUUGCACUUGAAACUAUGUUACUAGAGUGCAGGAGAGGUAAGUGGAAUUCCUAGUGUAGCGGUGAAAUGCGUAGAUAUUAGGAGGAACACCAGUGGCGAAGGCGGCUUACUGGACUGUAACUGACGUUGAGGCUCGAAAGCGUGGGGAGCAAACAGG